CCUACGGGUGGCAGCAGUGAGGAAUAUUGGUCAAUGGACGAGAGUCUGAACCAGCCAAGUAGCGUGAAGGAUGACUGCCCUAUGGGUUGUAAACUUCUUUUAUAAAGGAAUAAAACGAGGCACGUGUGCCUUUUUGCAUGUACUUUAUGAAUAAGGAUCGGCUAACUCCGUGCCAGCAGCCGCGGUAAUACGGAGGAUCCGAGCGUUAGCCGGAUUUAUUGGGUUUAAAGGGAGCGUAGAUGGGUUGUUAAGUCAGUUGUGAAAGUUUGCGGCUCAACCGUAAAAUUGCAAUUGAUACUGGCAGUCGUGAGUACAGUUGAGGUAGGCGGAAUUCGUGGUGUAGCGGUGAAAUGCUUAGAUAUCACGAAGAACCCCGAUUGCGAAGGCAGCUUACUAAAUUGUGACUGACAUUGAUGCUCGAAAGUGUGGGUAUCAAACAGGAUUAGAUACCCGAGUAGUC
rnacentral:rRNA from 1 species